ACUAGUGGAAGACCACGUAGAGCUAGCGAUUCUCAAUCACUCUAGAUGGCCCCGUAGCCGUAGAUAUAUAUAGAGCCUCGAUACACAAAUUGCAGAGAAUCUCUAUAUCUUUGGAUCUGUCAAGCAUUUUUUGUGUGGCUCUAUUAAGAAAACUUUUUUUUUUUUGAGAAAACAUUAUUUUCAUUCUGGAGUUUUCCAAGUGCAAGGUCGAUUGAGAAUGAUUCAGAUCUACCAAUUACUCCUUAAUCGGCGAUUCGCUAGAGCUCUGUGCCACACAAUGGACAUGUAAAAACAAAAACAACAAGGGUUUCUUAUGUUCAUUGUGAAUAGGCACUAAAAUGGAAUGGAUACUGUUGCACGAACAUCCAAUAUCAGCAAUACCAGUUCAAUCAUUUUCUUAUUUGAACAGAUUUUUUUAUCCAAAUAUUUGAAUCUAUAGCAUCAAACUGGAACAAAAAAAUUAACUGUGCUGUAUUCCAUUCAUGAUCCAAUAUUGAAAGUACUUUCCAUUUUUCUAAGCCCACGAAGUUGAGAUAUUCAGAACUCAGUUCA